rnacentral:rRNA from 1 species
GACGAACGCUGGCGGCGUGCUUAACACAUGCAAGUCGAACGGAAAGGCCCUGCUUUUGUGGGGUGCUCGAGUGGCGAAAGGGUGAGUAACACGUGAGUAACCUGCCCUUGACUUUGGGAUAACUUCAGGAAACUGGGGCUAAUACCGGAUAGGAGCUCCUGCUGCAUGGUGGGGGUUGGAAAGUUUCGGCGGUUGAGGAUGGACUCGCGGCUUAUCAGCUUGUUGGUGGGGUAGUGGCUUACCAAGGCUUUGACGGGUAGCCGGCCUGAGAGGGUGACCGGCCACAUUGGGACUGAGAUACGGCCCAGACUCCUACGGGAGGCAGCAGUGGGGAAUAUUGCACAAUGGGCGGAAGCCUGAUGCAGCAACGCCGCGUGCGGGAUGACGGCCUUCGGGUUGUAAACCGCUUUCGCCUGUGACGAAGCGUGAGUGACGGUAAUGGGUAAAGAAGCACCGGCUAACUACGUG